rnacentral:snRNA from 1 species
AUCACUUCUCAGCCUUUUGGCUAAGAUCAAGUGUGUAGCUGUACUUCUGUAUGUUUUUAAAAAGUCGCUUUAGGAAAGUAUAUUAUCCAAAUUUACUCUUAAUUUUCAAUUAGAACAUCGGAAACAUGGUAUCACUGCUUAGCCUUGAACUGUUCCUAAUGAUGUGUUUGUUCUU